rnacentral:rRNA from 1 species
AGUGAACGCUGGCGGUAGGCCUAACACAUGCAAGUCGAACGGCAGCACAGGAGAGCUUGCUCUCUGGGUGGCGAGUGGCGGACGGGUGAGGAAUACAUCGGAAUCUACCUUUUCGUGGGGGAUAACGUAGGGAAACUUACGCUAAUACCGCAUACGACCUGGUGAAGCAGGGACCGUUCGGCCGUUCGUCGCGGAGUAGA